CCGCGUGGAGGUAGAAGGCUUACGGGUCGUGAACUUCUUUUCCACUAUGGGAGCUGGCCAUGCCCGAAGUCGUUACC
rnacentral:tRNA from 1 species